UUUUUUUUAUCUAUUUUAGACUUUCAAGGAAGCCCCAGACGGUUUGUAGAGGUAUUGUCUUGCUCCCAACCACAGAAUUUGUAGUUUCACUUUUGAGAUCCUAAAUAUGUGUGACUAUAUAAGCAUGCAAGACAUUCAAAAAUUGGAUACUUGGUUGAUUAUGAUGCAAUUCAUAUAUCCCUAUUGACUACGAAAACAAGCAUCAGAGUACUUGGUUGUUCAGACUUCAAACAGGUAUGGUGGGCAAUGCAAGGAUACUCCUGCAGCCCAGGAACCCAUGAGUACUUCUACAAGGACGGAAGAAGUGCUAGCUGGCCCUACUUGGCUACAAAUCUUAUGGUAUACACCAUAAAUGUCAAGUUUCGUAACAAUUGCUGUAUAUUUCAAGCAAGAUUAUAAAAGGCUACCUUAAGGCACGCUUUCUGCCUAGGCGUAGGCUUAAAUGCAGCAAUUGCUCUGGUAAAGUCAUGCAGGCGCAAAAAGUGCACAGUAAGAGGGAAAAGCUUAAGCCUCAGGAGCUUAGUUGAUAAGUCCUUUCACGUUUUGGAUUGAUCCAGUGUUCAUGGGAUUUACAUGGAAAUGUUCCCUAUAAAAUAUUCUUUAGAAGCUGCUAUUCAAGGAUUGUGAAGUCUAAUCCCAACUAAAACCCAGGCUUAAAGUUCUUGUGUGCAUGCUUGAUGAUUGUCUACACGGUGGAAGUUUCACAACAGUAAGAAUGUGACAGACAGAGACAAACAUGCCCGGUACAAUACAUAUCACCGACAUUCCAAAUUCAAGGAUUUCAGGCAUACUUGGGACUUUUUCAGCCUUUCAAGUAUAUUUGCUUCUUGUCUGGUUUUGGAGAUGGCCAUGGGACAGGUUUCCUUUCCAAGCUCGGAUUACAAUCUUGUGAUGGAGUACUGUGUCCGUUGGUUGCCAAACGUCCUUGAGACUAUACCUAGUGCAUCCAAUAGUAGGUUACUGUACAGAUGGGAACACACUAUGGCAUGUAAACAUCUCUCUGUGGAAUCUUAAGUUUUAUUUUCCAAUACUUCGUGUCCCAAAAUAUAUAACUUGAACUCAAAAAGGGAAAAUUCCAUAUCUCCAACCCUUCAAUGCAGAAUAUGAAAAUCCCGAAAUGCAAAAAUCCCAAGUUGUAAAAGUUCAAACACAUUGUAAAAAUCCCAACUUUGAACGUACAAUGGUAAUAGCAGGGGCGUUCGCCCAAGUAAAAUAGGGUUCAUACAACAGACA